rnacentral:rRNA from 1 species
UGGGGGAAUAUUGCACAAUGGGCGGAAGCCUGAUGCAGCGACGCCGCGUGAGCGAAGAAGUAUUUCGGUAUGUAAAGCUCUAUCAGCAGGGAAGAAAAUGACGGUACCUGACUAAGAGGCUCCGGCUAAAUACGUGCCAGCAGCCGCGGUAAUACGUAUGGAGCAAGCGUUAUCCGGAUUUACUGGGUGUAAAGGGAGCGUAGACGGACUGGCAAGUCUGGUGUGAAAGGCUGGGGCUCAACCCCGGGACUGCAUUGGAAACUGCCUGUCUUGAGUGCCGGAGAGGUAAGCGGAAUUCCUAGUGUAGCGGUGAAAUGCGUAGAUAUUAGGAGGAACACCAGUGGCGAAGGCGGCUUACUGGACGGUAACUGACGUUGAGGCUCGAAAGCGUGGGGAGCAAAC